GGAUAGCUCAGUCAGUAUAAUCAUGAGACUCUUAAUCUCAGGUCAUGGGUUCGAGCCCCAUGUUGGGCA